rnacentral:rRNA from 1 species
UACGGAGGGGGCAAGCGUUGUUCGGAAUUACUGGGCGUAAAGGGCUCGUAGGCGGCCAACUAAGUCAGACGUGAAAUCCCUCGGCUUAACCGGGGAACUGCGUCUGAUACUGGAUGGCUUGAAUCCGGGAGAGGGAUGCGGAAUUCCAGGUGUAGCGGUGAAAUGCGUAGAUAUCUGGAGGAACACCGGUGGCGAAGGCGGCAUCCUGGACCGGCAUUGACGCUGAGGAGCGAAAGCCAGGGGAGCAAACGGG